GGAGUUUGGGCCGUGUCUCAGUCCCAAUGUGGCCGUUCACCCUCUCAGGCCGGCUACCGAUCGUCGCUUUGGUGGGCCGUUACCCCGCCAACUGGCUAAUCGGACGCGGGCCCAUCCUGUACCGUCGGAGCUUUUCUACACUGUACCAUGCGGUACUGUGCGCUUAUGCGGUAUUACCAGCCGUUUCCAGCUGCUAUCCCCCAGUACAGGGCAGGUUGCCCACGCGUUACUCACCCGUCCGCCACUAACCUUCCGGAAGUUCAUAGCAAGCUAAUCUCUUCCAUGGGUCCGUUCGACUUGCAUGUGUUAGGCACGCCGCCAGCGUUCAUC
rnacentral:rRNA from 1 species